UGGAAAGAAUGACACAGCUGGGUUGCAUCGUCAGGAGGACAUACUUCGUACAGCGGCCUUUGUCAUUAGUGCAUGUGGACACAAACCAUAAGCUCAUAAGGUACAUCAUCGUCAUAUUUGGAGCAAUAGAUGGUUACUCAAGAAAGGUGUAUCACUUUUUGUUUACUACUUUUUUAUAGUGCUUUAUUCUUCCUGAAUAUGUUUGUGUUCAUGUAUUCACUGUUGAUAGACUGCAUAUGGGUCCAUGUGCACAGCAAGAGUCACGUUUAAUGAGCACAUUUUUGGUGCAUUACAUUUGGUAAUAUACUUUAACCUAAGUCAUUGUUAGUGUGUGCAGUAGGCAAUGUGAGUAUAUUUAAACGUUUGCAGAUUCACUAUAUGAAACUCUUGUUUGUCUGUAUAGAUACUGUAUCUGGAACCAGCAACAAAUAACCACUCAAACACUGCCCUUUCAUUUUUCCUCAAGGCAGUGGAAAACUUUGGCUGGCCUUCCAGGGUCAGAGCCGAUGAAAGCGUUGAAAAUGUCGCAAUUGCUGAAACCAUGUUCAAUGUUAAAGGCACCGGAAGAGGGAGCUUCAUCGCUGGGCGAAGCGUACACAACCAAA